ensembl:lncRNA
CUUGAUGGUACCAGCGCCAUCAGCAGACAGCCGAACAUAAGGCCAGGCUCACCAGCAGAUGCUGCCUGCUUUGUAGCGCUCCAGUUACGCGAAGCAGCUCUGUUAGGAGGAGGGCUGUACUGUGGGGUGUAGAGGAAAAGCUCAGUCAAGACGUUCGGGGUAGCAUCCAGAAGUAAAACAGCUAUUUGGGAAAUCAAGAACUGAGCAGUGAACUGAAGCGGAGCACAUUCUUCUCUGCACUCCAGCAGAAGAGUAGACAACACCCAUAAUUCAUGUAAAAUGCACCGUACAACACUGACAUCUGCAAGGAGCUCAUCAUUCUUUGAUGUUGUUGUCUUUUACAAAGCUUCUCUCUUUCC